UCCCUUGUAGCUAGGUAGAUAAAGAAUCUGCCUGCAAUGCAGGAGACCCAGGUUCAGUUCCUGGGUUGGGAA
rnacentral:tRNA from 1 species